rnacentral:lncRNA from 1 species
ACGCUUCGUCAUCGUCAGUGGCAGCACAGGAAGAAGCCAGCGGACCAUGGAGUCACUGAGCCCGAAAAACCGAACUGUCCUGCCCCAUACACAACCCCCAAUCCCGCCACCGGGCAAAGUGUGGCUCCAAUUGGCGCUUGACAUGGCCCCGACAAUACAGCAACAACAACGGACAGACAGACAGACAGACAAGCGGACAAAUCGGACAGACGAACAGACGGACGGACAAACGAAAAUAUUGUUCCAUCAAAAAUCCCAGCAACGUUUGCUGAUUUACACGAUGCUGCCUUGGCUGCUGUUGCCGUUGUCAUUGUCGGCGAUCAUAUCAAAGCGGCGCAAAUUUCCUGCCGGCAUACAGAUAAGCAAGAGAGUGUAGGAGUUCGGGAGCUAAAUACAAAAAAAGGACUGCCAAAGGCACCAAAAAACUGAAGGCAAGGGGAGCUUGGCGACAGUGGAAAGCAGAAGGCUCCGAUUCUGACCAAUUCCAGGCGACAUAAACUGGCGUCUAUCAUAUUGUUGUCUCCAUACGCUACGAUACAUGAAGAAUCCCUCACAUUUUGGACCAACAACGCUUUUCUGACCGUGUGUCUGCGGACAACCGCUUAGAUGGAGAGCCGGACAAACGGAUGCUUGAAAGGAUGGAUGACUGGGGAAUUGGAUUCUCCGAUUGUUGUUGCUGCGAGCGGACGGAAGCUAUCGGCCUGGCGGAAGUGAACGGCCGCCGUUGGCGUUUUGGCCACGUGAUCGGAAGGAAGCGCAACUUGCGAAUUGAAACAUCCGAUGCAGACGACAAGGACAUCGAGAUGUCUCGAUGUCAGCAGCAGCGUACUUCGUACUUCGUCCUUCUUCCUGCAUGUCCUCGAGUGUCCUCGGGCAAAAGUGACACCAAAUUGUCGGCUAAUCUGUCGAUGACUUUCACCCUCGAAAGCGAAAACACCAAAAAACACCCAACCCCUCGAACCGUCAGAUGGGAAAUUUAAUUUGCACCCAACAACGAUGAAGCAACUGCUCUGAAUACAAAUAUAUGCCACUUUUUUUUCUAAUUAAAUAUUUGUAAACUGAAUUAGGGUAAGCCGUAAUCUGCAAUUCGAAAGUUUAUCUGGGAUAUAUUCAUGAAAUUAUAUUAAGCGUAUCGC